AACUUUUGAUGAUGGAAGAGAAAAAUAUGGAAAGCGUUAUGAUGUUGCUUCUACAGAAAGUGUAGAUGAUAAGAGAGAAAAAUAUGGAAAACGAUAUGAAAAUGCUUUUGAAGGUGUAGAUGAUAGGAGGGAGAAAUAUGGAAAGCGAUAUGAAAAUGGCUUUGAUGAAGGUAUGGAGGACAAAAGGGAGAAAUAUGGCAAGCGAUAUGAAAACGCUUUUGUUGAAGGUGUAGAUGACAGGAGAGAGAAAUAUGGGAAGCGAUACGAAAAUGCUUUUGAUGAAGGCAUGGAAGAUAGAAGGGAGAAAUAUGGCAAGGGAUACGAAAAUGCUUUCAUCGAAGGUGUAGAUGACGAGAGGGAGAAAUAUGGAAAACGUUAUGAUGCUGCUUUUCAGGAGGGAAUGGAUGAUAGAAGAGAGAAAUAUGGCAAAAGAUAUGAAAAUGCUUUUGAAGAGGGAAUGGACGAUAAGAGGCAGAAAUAUGGGAAGAGAUAUGAAAAUGCUUUCAGUGAAAGUGUAGAUGAUAGGAGGGAGAAAUAUGGGAAGAGAUAUGAAAAUGCUUUUGAAGAAAGUGUGGAUGAUAGAAGAGAGAAAUAUGGAAAGAGAUAUGAAAAUGCUGUCAGUGAAAGUGUAGAUGACAAAAGGGAGAAAUAUGGGAAGAGAUACGAAAAUCCUUUUGAAGAAAGUAUAGAUGAUAGAAGAGAAAAAUAUGGAAAGCGGUAUGAAAAUGCUUUUGAAGAAGGUACGAAUGACAGGAGGGCGAAAUAUGGGAAGCGAUAUGAAAAUGCUUUUGAAGAGGAUACAAAUGACAGGAGGGAGAAAUAUGGGAAGCGAUAGGAAAAUGCUUUUGAAGAAAGUGUAGAUGACAAAAGAGAAAAAUAUGGAAAGCGAUACGAAAAUGCUUUUGAAGAAGGUACGAAUGACAGGAGGGAGAAAUAUGGGAAGCGAUAUGAAAAUGCUUUUGAAGAAGAUACAAAUGACAGGAGGGAGAAAUAUGGAAAGCGAUAU
rnacentral:lncRNA from 1 species